UACUAUAUUUAGUCAGUCUUCGGUAGAGGUAAAGAUCCCUAAACUUGGUUACCAUUAUAAAUAUAUAUAUGUUAUUGAUUCGUAAUGUUGGAUUGACAUCGUAAGAUUUAUAUUGAUAAAUUUAGUUUGGCAUGUGAUGGUAUGAUUUAUAUAAUUUCUAGUACAAAUAUACUUGUACGGAUAUUAUAUGUAUCAGUUAUUAGCAGCAUGAUUAUGUGAACAAUGAUAUCCUAAAUUUAAGAGAAAUGCACUAUGUAAGUAGAAAUUUAUUUAACAAGAGUAACAUAUAAAUCAGACAAAUAAGAUAAGGUUUGGACUAACCUUGUCAUAGGAUAGUCUCUAUGGGCUUACGCGUGAGAUAGCGUUCACAGGCUUACGCAUGGGAUAGUUUCCACAAGCUUAUGCGUGGGAUAGCGUCCAUGGGCUUACGCAUAGGAUUUUGUCAGUCUUGGAUUGGGCCAUGAUCUUUGUUAGUCCAAAGUGGAAAAAAUAUUGCUUUAAUACGAAACGAA
rnacentral:lncRNA from 1 species